AUCUAUGCGCUUGGGGCAAUGACGCAGCUGGUGAGGUUAUAACCGAGGCGCGUCUAUUGCUGUUGAAAACUAUUUCCAAAGCCCUCUUAGGCCCGUAUUUUACUCCUUCGAGAAUUUCUAGAAGGGCUCCCCUCGGGCC